CUCGAAACUUGAAAAUGGUCUGCUUGCGCUAGGUCAUCUGGCCGAAAACACGAUUUUCGAGGAACUGCGUCGUGGACAAGGACAAGCGGAACCAGUGCCGAUAUUGCCGUCUGAGGAAAUGUUUCAAGGCUGGAAUGAAGAAAGAAGCCGUCCAGAA